rnacentral:rRNA from 1 species
ACGAACCGUACGAACGUUAUUCGGAAUCACUGGGCUUAAAGAGUGCGUAGGCGGCUUGGCAAGUUGGGUGUGAAAUCCCUCGGCUCAACCGAGGAAUGGCGCCCAAAACUGUCAAGCUUGAGGGAGGUAGAGGUAAGCGGAACUAAUGGUGGAGCGGUGAAAUGCGUUGAUAUCAUUAGGAACACCUGAGGCGAAAGCAGCUUACUGGGCCUUUUCUGACGCUGAGGCACGAAAGCUAGGGGAGCGAACGGG